UGUAUUGCCAACACUAAAUUCACCUCUUAUCAGGCUGCACAACUUAUUCCGGAGCAAACUGCUCCUCACUCAGCCGACCCUCGAGCAUAAGCUGUACCACCAGCAAACCUUCCAAUUGAGGUAAGAAACAUGCUUUUCACUUAGUCUUCCUAAUUUUUUCAACUAAAAUCGACUGAUUCUUGGCAUAGGAUGCUACAGACACAUCGGUUGUCCCCUUUGAGCCACCAUUGGUUGUGCGCUUUCCAGAGGUAGGAAGACCUAGACCCACAUUUAGAUCUAAUAUUCUUUUAUACUCACAAGUACUUCCC
rnacentral:lncRNA from 1 species